CUGUAGGCGGUGCCUCAUGUAAAAUUAUCCUCACGGAAAACACUGCCAGAGAUGCUAAGGAUGACCUGACGAACCGUUCGUUCGCUAUUCUCAAGGCACCGGCUUUGUCCUAUAAGAAAGCUUUCCUCUGCUUACCACAAGCACUAUCUGAGCUAACGCAAAAUCAGUUUGACUUCCGCACAGGUCCUGGUCAGAGAGCAUCCCUUUGGACCCCAUGUGUGAGAGACAGGAUAGCCUCGGGAUUAGCAUGCUCCUCCUCACCCUGGAGUGGACUGCAGAAAGUGACCCUUUCCCUCAUCCGCCCCAGCAGGGAAAAGAAAGUUUCCGAGCACAGUAAGAAGACUUCUCUGACAUUGCAGAGUUCACCCAGCAUAGCUGAAGCUUCGCCGAAGGAUGCCCCAAGCAGACAGAGUAUCUGAGGAGCCCUCUGACACCGAGGAACUGAGUCCAGCUGGUACAACCUACAGACCUCCUAUCAUGAGAGCCCCGCAAAUCCAACCACUUCAGUAGCUGACCUCAGUAUGGCGUUUCCCAAUUCCUACAUGCCCUUCCUCAGGCAAGUAAAACAGAACCUCCAACGGAAACCAAUGUGCUGGACCUUGGAGUUACCGAUACUGCUUCAGCCGCUGUCAGAAACAACGAAAGCAACUGCGCAUGUCAGAAGCACAUUCAUCUGCCAAGGUUAAGAUUUUAUUUCUUUUUAAGAUUUACUUAUUAAUUAUAUAUGAGUACACUGUUGCUGUCUUCAGACAUGCCAGAAGAGGGCAUCAGAUCCCAUUACAGAUGGUUGUGAGCCAUGAUGUGGUGACUGGGAUUUGAACUCAGGUCCUCUGGAACAGCAGUCUGUGCUCUUAACCGCUGAGCCAUCUCUCCAGCCCAAGUUAAGAGUUUAAAUCUAUGAGUGUAGUGUGAGACAAUGGGGUCUCUCUGUGCAUGGACAGUGGAGGUUGCACCAACAUUGCCUUCCUCUGCAAGCACUGGAGGCAUGGGGGACUGAAGUAGUUUGAGCAUAGUGAUGUAACUAUUUUUAGGAUGACUCUUCACAAAUAAAAGUGCACAGAACACCCA